CCUGCUCCACUUCCUGUGGCGGACUCCGCACAGCUCCACUAUACCCUGGCAGGCCACAGUAACGGCCACGAACCUGCUCCACCUCCUGCGAUGGAUACCACGCGAUUCUCCUGUCCGCUAACAACGGACGCUGCUCCACCCCUCACAACAGAUUCCACAUGGCGGGUCGAGGUGAUGGCCACGUGUCCGCUCCAUUAUCUUUCGCAAUCAAUUCCCCUGAACAGGGGCGGCCCACUACCAGGUGGUUACAAACGUCGCCAUCAAUCCGCUGCCUCCUCCGUCUAUAAAAGGGGGAUCCAGAUACGUUAUUCUCUAAGCUCAUUCUUCCUUAUCUCAAAACUCUGCUAAAUUCUCCGUUCGAGCACUCCAUUCUUGUUGAGGCAGAAAACUGACUUGAGCGUCGGAGGGUCUUGCCGGAGCAACCCCACCUCCGGUUUAGACUUCCCUUGCAGGUCCCGGCGGCGACCGCGGCUUCCCCGACUCCAGCUUCUCCGGCGCAAGUGAAUUUUUGCACCAACAGGAUUGGCGCU
rnacentral:lncRNA from 1 species